rnacentral:rRNA from 1 species
AGUGAACGCUGGCGGUGUGCCUAACACAUGCAAGUCGAACGGAAACACAAUAAGAUUUUGCUCUUGCGGGUGGCGAGUGGCGGACGGGUGAGGCAUAGAUCGGAAUCUACUUUUUCGGGGGUGAUAACGUGGGAAAAGUGAUGCUAAUAGCGCAUAUGAUCAACGGGAGAGAGCAGUAGAGCUUGGCAGCUUUCGUGAUUGAAUGAGACGAUGUCGGAUUAGCUAGUUGGCGGGGUAAAGGCACACCAAGGCGACGAUACGUAGCGGACCUGAGAGGAUGAUCAGCCACACUGGAACUGAGACACGGUCCAGACUCCUACGGGAGGCAGCAGUGGGGAAUCUUGGGCAAUGGGCGCAAGCCUGACCCAGCCACACCGCGUGAGUGAUGAAGGCCUUCGGGUUGUAAAGCCCUGUUAUUGGGAAAGAAAAGAAGCAUGUUUAUCUCUCGCCGUCUUGACGGUACCUAAUGAAUAAGCACCGGCUAACUUCGUG